CAGUCGCCACGGUAAUACGAGGGGGGCAAGCGUUGUUCGGAAUUAUUGGGCGUAAAGGGUGCGUAGGCGGCUAGUCGCGUCGGCUGUGAAAACCUGGGGCUCAACCCCGGGCCUGCAGCCGAUACGGGCUAGCUAGAAUUCGGUAGGGGAGACUGGAAUUCCUGGUGUAGCGGUGAAAUGCGCAGAUAUCAGGAGGAACACCGGUGGCGAAGGCGGGUCUCUGGGCCGAUAUUGACGCUGAGGAGCGAAAGCGUGGGGAGCGAACAGGAUUAGAUACCCGCGUAGUCCCUGUCUCUUAUAC
rnacentral:rRNA from 1 species